rnacentral:rRNA from 1 species
GACAGAGGGUGCAAACGUUGUUCGGAAUUACCGGGCGUAAAGCGUGCGCAGGCGGUUUUGUAAGACAGAUGUGAAAUGCCCGGGCUUAACCUGGGAACUGCAUUUGUGACUGCAAGGCUAGAGUUUGGCAGAGGGGGGUAGAAUUCCACGUGUAGCAGUGAAAUGCGUAGAUAUGUGGAGGAAUACCGAUGGCGAAGGCAGCCCCCUGGGUCAAGACUGACGCUCAUGCACGAAAGCGUGGGGAGCAAACAGG